rnacentral:lncRNA from 1 species
AGGGGGUGUGAGUUCUGAGGAUGUCUUUGGUUAGAUCUCUUGCGAUAGAUUUGUUUUUAUGUUUCGGCCUUAAAUGGCCUUAUUUUGUGUUUUGGGACUGGCCGCGUAUGGCUUUGGAUCCAUGCCGCUUUGCGGCUUUUUAUGAUGAGAUAAUAAAACAGUGCUUUUUUAUGAGUUAGUGCAUAGUGGGGAAGGAAAGUGAUGAGUUGUCGUCUCAUAUCCUUCUUCGAUUGUGAAAUGUUUUAUUCGAGAUCUGUUUCGAGAGUUCUUCCGCGAGAUGUAGGAUUCGCGGGGGUGCUGAAGAUGUUGAAUAUAAACAUAGAGGCAUGGUUUAGGGAUCUCGUAUCUUUUGAUAUCACGCCUUGACAUGUUAGAGACGAGUGCGCUGGGUUUAGGGCAAGACCUAGGCUUACUUUCGGUUUAAGGAUUGUGCGGUGACUAGCCGGCUAUCGUUUUUCCUGCUUCGAUUUCUUCCUGAUUCGUAUUGAUUUAAAGUCCGCGAUAGGUUCUCGGCUUAUACGACUUGUUUGA